CACACACACACACACACACACACACACACAAGAAGAAAGAAAGAAAGAGAGAAAAGAAAGAAAGAAAAAGAAAGAAAGAAAGGAAGGAAGGAAGGAAGGAAGGAAGGAAGGAAGGAAGGAAGGAAGGAAGGAGAGAAAGAAAGAAAGAAAGGAAAACAAACAAACAGGGAAGGGAUGAAAGCCUGACCAAGCCUGAGAAAUGAAAAAUAGUGGCAGACCUUUGAAAUCGAAAUAAAAGUACAAAAUUUGAAGACUCACACUGUCUUGCCUCAUUCUGGACCUGCCUCCACAUUUCCCACAACUAAUUAUCUGAAGAAUGGAAGCACACUUGGAUACGCUGCAGCGGAAAAACUUGGAGCUUGUAAUUCAACGUGUCCUGGGAUUCGACCACAUGGGUAUUUUAUUGCUUAGGAAGGAUUAUGAAGGCUAACAAGCAUAACGAUACUACUGCUGCACCAGUUCAACUUCAGGAUGUUAAAAGUGAUAAACGACUUGUGUCCCAAAUUUUGUGAACAAAAUCGAAAUGCAAAUUUGUGUUUUUCAUGUGGCUGAAUAUGAUACAAAACAUACCUUAUAGAAUGUUUGCUAAAACUAAAGAUAAACACAAGAUAAAAGGAGACUGUAGUCCUUCCCUCAACCCUCCCACAAGCCCCGUAAGGAUAGGUGCCUUUAUUUACACUGUUUUUUUUUUUUUUUUUUUUGAGACAGAGUUUCACCCUUGUUGCCCAGGCUGGAGUACAGUGGUGCAAUCUCGGCUCACUGCAACCUCCGCGUCCCAGGUUCAAGAGAUUCUCCUGACUCAGCCUCCCGAGUAGCUGGGAUUACAGGCAUGGACCACCACAUCCGGCUAAUUUUGUAUUUUUAAUAGAGAUGGGGUUUCUUCAUGUUGGUCAGGCUGGUCUCAAACUCCCGACCUAAGGUGAUCCACCCGCCUCGGCCUCCCUAAGUGCUGGGAUUAUAGGCAUGAGCCACCACGCCCGGCCCAUUUAGACUUUUAACAUCCGAAGAACAUCAUGAUUUUUUAAAAAUAUUAGAUAUAGUAUUUGAGGUUUGAAGAAUUUCUAUACAAUAUGAAGAAAAGGAUGGGGGAGGGGAGGGCCAGUUGGGAGUGGGAGAGAAGGGGCAAUUGCAAAUUCACUUUUGAGCACACGGCCAAAAUGUAUACCUACUAGUUCCUGUUUCACCACCUCUGUGUUUAUUCCGCAGCCGAAGAUUGCUUUGGUUUUGCUCACAUUUUACAAAAGUUCAUUUCCACCUUUUUUUUGUUGUUGUAUUUUUAGCCUCCUCUUUUUUUUUUUUUUUUCCUAAUGCAAUGUUGGCAACUUCAGUGACUCUGGGAGGCCAGUUUCCCCAGCAAGUUCCCAUCAGGUACUUUUUGUUCCCUGCUGUGGAUGCUUCUUGGAUAGGUUGAUAAGCAAAGAAGUUCACGUUGGCGACAACACUUCCAUUAAAGACGCGUGCAGUAAAUCCUAUGAUGCAAUCUCCUGCAGCUUAACUAGCAGACCCAAGCUGGUCUGGCAUGAUCUAUGCACCAGCUUGCAGAAGCAGUCAGAUGAGUCACUGUGUGGCCCUCCAGGGAGAA
rnacentral:lncRNA from 10 species